GACGAACGCUGGCGGCGUGCUUAACACAUGCAAGUCGAACGGAAAGGCCCUGCUUGUGUGGGGUGCUCGAGUGGCGAACGGGUGAGUAACACGUGAGUAACCUGCCCUUGACUUUGGGAUAACUUCAGGAAACUGGGGCUAAUACCGGAUAGGAGCUCCUGCUGCAUGGUGGGGGUUGGAAAGUUUCGGCGGUUGGGGAUGGACUCGCGGCUUAUCAGCUUGUUGGUGGGGUAGUGGCUUACCAAGGCUUUGACGGGUAGCCGGCCUGAGAGGGUGACCGGCCACAUUGGGACUGAGAUACGGCCCAGACUCCUACGGGAGGCAGCAGUGGGGAGUAUUGCACAGUCGUGGGGAGCGUGAUGCGGAAACGCCGGGUGCGGGAAGACGGCCUUCGGGUUGUGAACCGCUUUCACCUAUGACGAAGCGUGAGUGACGGUAAUGGGAAAAGAAGCACCGGCUAACUACGUG
rnacentral:rRNA from 1 species